AGGAGAGAUGCGCGCCGCACCUGCCCCGUUCGCGGGGCCGGGGAAGCCGUUCGAGCAGCGUCGUGUCGCGGUCCGGGACUGUCCUCAGUCCCGGGUCGUCUCGGCGCGGUUCCGAGCGGUCGCUCCCUCGCGAGGUGCCGCGGGUCAGCGGCUGACGCCAGCCACCUUCCCGACCCGUCUUGAAACACGGACCAAGGAGUCUAACAUGUGCGCGAGCCGCGGGGCAGUACGAAACCCGUGAGGCGAAAUGAAGGUGAACGCCGGCGCGGUCCGGCGGAGGUUGGAUCCCGUCCCGUCGGGGCGGGCGCACUACCGGCCGAUCUUCUCCGCCCUGUCGGCGAGGUCGAGCGAGAGCGUGCAAGUCGGGACCCGAAAGAUGGUGAACUAUGCCUGAGGAGGUUGAAGCCAGAGGAAACUCUGGUGGAGGACCGUAGCGAUUCUGACGUGCAAAUCGAUCGUCAUAUUUGGGUAUAGGGGCGAAAGACUAAUCGAACCGUCUAGUAGCUGGUUCCCUUCGAAGUUUCCCUCAGGAUAGCUGGCGCUCUGUCGCAGUUUUAUCUGGUAAAGCGAAUGAUUAGAGGUCUUGGGGGCGAAACGCCCUCAACCUAUUCUCAAACUUUAAAUUGGUAAGAAGCCCGACUCGCUCGUUUGGAGCCGGGCAUGGAAUGCGAGUGCCAAGUGGGCCACUCUUGGUAAGCAGGACUGGCGAUGCGGGAUGAACCGAACGCCGGGUUAAGGCGCCCGACGCGACGCUCAUCAGAGCCCACAAAAGGUGUUGGUUGAUAUAGACAGCAGGACGGUGGCCAUGGAAGUCGGAAACCGCUAAGGAGUGUGUAACAACUCACCUGCCGAAUCAAUCAGCCCUGAAAAUGGAUGGCGCUGGAGCGUCGGGCCUAUACCCGGCCGUCGCGGCGGUACGAGCAUCGAGUUGGUGCGCUAGGCCGCGACGAGUAGGAGGGCCGCGGCGGCGGGCGUAGAAGCCUAGGGCGCGAGCCCGGGUGGAGCAGCCGUCGGUGCA
rnacentral:ncRNA from 1 species